UACGAAGGGGGCUAGCGUUGUUCGGAAUCACUGGGCGUAAAGCGCACGUAGGCGGACUUUUAAGUCAGGGGUGAAAUCCCGGGGCUCAACCCCGGAACUGCCUUUGAUACUGGAAGUCUUGAGCCGAGAGAGGUGAGUGGAACUCCGAGUAUAGAGGUGAAAUUCGUAGAUAUUCGGAAGAACACCAGUGGCGAAAGGCGGCUCACUGGCUCGGUACUGACGCUGAGGUGCGAAAGCGUGGGGAGCAAACAGGAUUGAGAUACCCGGAGUCC
rnacentral:rRNA from 1 species